rnacentral:misc_RNA from 1 species
GGAGAUGGUAAUUUAUUGUUGGUAUUUUUCAGCUUCAUGAUACAAAAGAACAACAAUCUGUCAUAAGUUUGUUAACACAUUACCAUUUGAAAAAUUAAGGUUUCCUUGAACUUGGUAGGUUUGCAGUCUUAUAGAGGUUCAAAAAUACAGUAUGUCUUUUAAGCUGAAGAAUUAUUGUCUUUCAGUCUGAAGGAAGUAUUUAUUUAUGAACAACUGAAACAUACAUGCAGAAGUAUUUAUUUAUGAAUAACAAAAUAAGUAACUUGUACUUUCAGAAGUGACUGUGACUUUCGCAUAGUCUUUUUACUGCAAUAUCUUUAAAAUCAGUAUCAUCCAUAUAAUCUCUAGGUAGGCUUGGGUACUACAUGUUUCCAUCAUUUUUCAUG